GAGAUACUCUUUGAUGAGGACCUGUUGCACUUUUGUUUUGGAUUUCAGGCAAUCAAGGUUGAAUAGCUUUCCAUCAAUUCUGAUAUAUGAGAAGACAAUUUCAGGAGGUGAACUGAAGGAAUAUAACAAAAGCAAAGUCAAGAAGAUGCCAAAAAGUGUGAAUGCCUGAACACAAACCAUUUGACCUCAUUGCAGAUCUGAUCAAAUUCAUUAGGUCAUCCUAGAAAAAGAAAAUCAUAUUGAGCAGCUUUGGAAGGGUAUUCUGGAAAUGUUAUAACCAAUAUCCAGUGACUUGAAGGAGCAAAUAGAAGGAAACCCUGCAUGAUCUGGUCAGAUUGGACAACACCUCAUGAAUUAAUUUGGUAGGAAUCCUAACUAAGAAGAAUGACUUCCCCCAUUUUUAAACAAACCAUCAGCUGCAAUGGGAUUUGAAACAUGAGUCUCAAUGAACAAUCAUCACAUUCAACCAUAUUCCACAGAUCUUUGUAAUGGUUCCACCAGAAAAAGAAUUCCAUCAAAGGACAUUGAAAAGAAAAGAUUGAGGGGAAAUGGAGUAGCUGCGGGUCACCACUGAAGCUGCCCUGAGGACACUAAAGUGAGGAUUUCUGGAUUGGAACCAUCACGCUACCACUGCCAAAGCCUACACCGAAGUCACUGCAUCACCACCAUAGCAGAGGGACAGAUCAGACUCACCCCAAGUCACUGUUGCUGAAGCCGUCGGCAUCUCAAUCACCACCUGAAGUUGUCACCAUAGCCAUGAGGAACGAUCUGGAAUGACCAUGCCAUCACUGCUGUGGCCACCCUGAAACCGCCACACCACUGCGAGGAGGAACGGGCCAGUCCCACUGAUGAUGAUGUCGUUGAUAAAACUGCAGCCACAGUGACCAUGAGGGAUGGACAUUCGGUUCUACCAUGCUGCAGCAGCAGGCCCUUGCAACCGCCUUCCUCCACCGGAGCUGCAGAAAAGAAGAAAAGGUGAACUGUGAUUCAAAAGAGAAAUGAAGAAAUGAAGAUAAAAAACAAAAUAAAAAGAGCAAAGAAGAACGCAGCUGACCAGUUGAAUGGGAUUGGGAGUGUAUGGGCACAGAGCCCAAACACUUCCUGCCGUCGCCAUCUUAGAGUAUUAUGUCAUAAGUGCCAAAUGAGUGGAUCCUUGACAGCAUGACCAGUAGCACAAAACUUAAAAAUGGGCCGCAACAAUCCUUAAAUAUACAAAGGAUCUGAGGUGCCGAGGAAUGGCAUGAAUAUUUUCUGGGGCAUACAAUAAACCUGCUCCAGGACUUUGGCUCCCCUGAUCACAUGGGCACAUUAAAAUUAAUUCUGGUUUGAUUAUAUCAUGGUUUAUGGGAAGAAAAUCAAUUUUAAGUUGGAUACAAAGGUAAACGUAUCCAUCCUAUCAGCGUAUAUCAUGGUUGAAGCAAAGAUUUCUCUGAUCAUUUUCCAUUCAAAUUUGGUGCACACAAGGUAUUCAGUCAGAGUCAGAGGGCUUACAUAGAUGACACUUCAUUGCAAUAGAAAAGACAUCACCAAACCUUUGUAUGUCAUUUCUAACCACCACUCUUCUUUAUUAAGUGGAGAUGCUUUUCUGGAUUUGAAUCUUCUUUAUUUAGCAAUUGCCAGAGAACAUGAAAUUGAUUCAGUGCAUCAGUUGAAUCAGUUUCACUACAGGAACUCCAUCACUAAGACCACAUGCAAAUAGUGCAGAUCCCUUAUUGCUUUCAGGGAAGAAACUAGAAGUAAUGUGGAAAGACGGUAUCAAGAAUGAAGGUGGUGAGCUGCAAGAAGCCUUAUAAAUCUUAGGUUUUUUGGGGAAUGAGGUGAGAGAGUGAAGUUUCCAUUGAUGCAGAUGAUUUGUGGAAGAAAAGGCAAAAAUUGUGAUGUCUUCAUUCUUACAUGUUCUGUAACCUGAAAAGGAGCUUAUAGUAUUUCACUCAGAAAUAAACAUCAACAAAGCUUCUGUCUUGUCUACAGCUGUCCACAAUAUCACAGAAUUCUCAGAUUAUGAAGUUAGAAAAGCAUCUUAAAUCAAGCAUGGAGGAUGUGUCAGCUUUGACACAGGCUCAGGAGCAGGAUUGAAACUCACCUUUAAUAGCAGGAAUUGUCUAUAUAUAACACAAAUUGAGAAAAAUUAACAAAGAACAUCAAAAUGAAUUUGCUCGGCAGAGAAAAUUUCAGACCUUGGAAACAGCCAAUCAUUGAUUAACUGGAAACAGUUCCCGAAAAGCUAUCCAGGGAAAGGAAAUAUGUUAGUCCCAAUUGGAUCAAGUUUGUUCCUUCACCAAACCAUGAUAACACUUGAGGUUUCUUUCAUAAUGAAUUAGAGGCCUAAGCUGUAGAACUUCAACAGCUGAUCACAGCUUUUCAGAAGAGCUUCUUGGGCAACCACUACCAUUGAAGGAAUUCCUGAAAGCCCACUUUCAAUGUCUUCUAUUGUUCAAGGUAAAGAAAUCCCAAUUUUCCCCCGACAUCUGUGGAAUCUUGAUAUGCAUAGAAGAGCAGCCUCCAUUUGCUACACCUGUGGCAAUCCUUUUACUGUGGAGGAAUGAUCAAUUCUUACUGUGGAUUCCAGAAAUAUUCAUCCCAGACAAGACUCAAACUCAGGUGGGAAAGAAAUAGCAUUGUUUUUACAGGCAGAUUGUCAUUAGAGGCUUGAACCACGCACUACUGAAGCUUAUGCUUUCCAAAGACAAUAACAAGGUUCAUUUAUCCGACCCAGCCACAAGCUAAAAACAUUGUUGGAGAUUGAUGCCUCUGGUGGAAGACUCUUUGGCGUGGAAUGGGGGCAGGCAGGUCUGUAUUGGAUUUGGGCUGAUAUGUGUGGGUGUAAUUAGAUUAAUAUUACUAGUUAGAGUUGAUUGGUUAAAAGUGCAGUGAAUGAACUUGGGAGAGGUGAUGGUGUGGUGGUGAGAUGUGGCAUGAAGGAAUAACAAUACUUUUACUCUGGUAGUAGCUACUGAGCAUGUGCAUAAGGAACUAUGUGAUGAAGAUAUCAGGACAAGAUACAACAGGACCUGAGUAUGUAGGUCUCAGACAGGCUCUCUCCUAGUUUCUCUAAUGUACUGUCUUAUGUUUCAUAAAAUGUUAAAGUUUAUUUACCUGAGUGCAAGCCUGAUCUUAUUAUGUAAACUAUCGCAACACUAAAAUCAAUCCAUCAAAUGCUAUGC